UUGAACAUUCAAAUGCACCAAAAAUAUUUUUUUCUCUUUCCUUCAUGUGUUUCUUGCUCGCUAUAUUGUGGGUUCCAUAAUUCUCUUGUGAUGCUUUUGUUGAUAUACUUCGACCUUUGGUUUGCAGGAUUACUUUCUUACUCAAUAAGAAAAAAUAUUUGCUACCUGUGUCUAGCCUCUACUAGCUCCUGGCUUUUGAGGUAGAGUGGAAGAAUUACUUCACUUGACUUCAUAAGUUUCUUUUACCAAGCUUCAGAUUUUAUGCAGUUCCUCCUCCAACAGAAUAUGAGAGGACGACCUGGAAAGAAAAUAAGAAUAGCAAGUAUUCUGUCAACUGCCAUAGGCUUCUUACCUCAAGCCUCCCUCUCCGCCACUGUUAGUGGAAACUUGCAUAGUAAUAUAAGGAUCCACUCAAAGUCAUUGGUUUUAUUUGAAUAGCAUCACAUAAUAGUGAUGACCGCUGACACAGGCAAACCUGCAAGGAAGAGGUUACUUCUUAUCAAUUGAUGCCACCUUUCCUCGAUCCGGUAACUCAGAAGAGAUUAGCCGUCUAUUUUUAGAAGUGUAUCAUAGCUACUAACUCAGAAUAGAUUAGCCAUCUACUAAACUAUGCAAAUGUUGUUAUUUCUAUUUGAAAAUCUUGGCUGGUGAUCUAAGAGCCGGUUAUUAGAACUGGCUCAGAAGGAAGAUGGGGAACGUAAGGCUAUAUAUAUUGAACGAUGUUAUACUGUCGACAAUUUGGAAAAAAAAAGGGAACAUCUAAUGUAGUGUUACGUAAUAAAGCUUGAUUAUUUAUCGAAAGAAAGGAAUCUGGAAUA